AACGAACGCUGGCGGCAGGCCUAACACAUGCAAGUCGAGCGCCCCCUUUCAGAGGGCAGCGAUCAGCGGUCAGCAUGACAGCGAUCAGAGGGAUCUGAUUGCUGGUCGGCUGAUUGCUGAUAGCUGCCUUCCGAUGGGGGAGCGGCGGACGGGUGAGUAACGCGUGGGAAUUUUCCUCAAGGUACGGAACAACUCAGGGAAACUUGGGCUAANACCGUAUGAUGUCUAGCGACCAAAGAUUUAUCGCCUUGGGAUAAGCCCGNGUCAGAUUAGGUAGUUGGGUGGGGUAACGGCCUACCAAGCCUGCGAUCUGUAGCUGGUCUGAGAGGACGAUCAGCCACAC
rnacentral:rRNA from 1 species